GUCUAGGUAGUAUAGUGGUUAGUAUGCUCGCUUGUGGUUGUUGAUUGUGACCAAUACGCGAUUGACGUCAGUUCGAUUCUGGCCCUGGACA